AACGCACAUUGCGCCCUCUGGUAUUCCGGGGGGCAUGCCUGUUCGAGCGUCAUUACAACCCUCAAGCUCUGCUUGGUAUUGGGCGUCACCACCUGGUGGGCCUCAAAAUCAGUGGCGGUGCCGUCUGGCUUCAAGCGUAGUAAUACUUCUCGCUACGGAGUCAGGCGAGUGCUCGCCAGAACCCCCAAUUUUUUAAGGUUGACCUCGGAUCAGGUAGGGAUACCCGCUGAACUUAA
rnacentral:misc_RNA from 1 species